CAGAUGUGUAUGUCUGGAAAAUAUAGUGCCUUGCUACAUGACAUCCACGCAUUGUUAUUGUGAAGGAGGUGUGCUGCAAGGCUGCAGCUGGCAGCUGUGAGAAAACGCAUCACUUACAGCAGAGACCUUCAGACCUAGGCUAGCGUUGCCAGCAGCUGAAAUUCCUGGAGCUGUAAACACUGUUGAUAUUGUCUAAAGAUAAAAUAAAAUAAAAUAGUUCAGGAAGACCUGACAAAUGUGCUCUUUCCCCUGCAUCAGUGUGGUAGGGAUGGAUACUGUUUUAUACACAUGGCUGGUUGUUCACUAGUAAAGUACCAAUCCAAAAAGGCUGUUUAACAACAGUUAAUUCCACUUAACACGGGCUAGGAAAUCAUGCAGGGAAUUCACCACCAGCCUGGCCACUGGGGGAAAACAACUGGUGUUGCCACCUACAAGGAACUCAAACAGCUCAGCAUCCACCUGCUCCCAACAGGUGGGCACCCAGCAUAUAUUACAGAUUGCAUAGAGAACAGCUGAGGGAUGAUACCCUCCCUUAAAUCAAGCUUGUUUACAUUUACUUGAAUAGUGGCUUACUUAAAUUCUUUACAAAGGAGUAGUCAGAAUUUGAAGAGAAGAUUCUGCUUCAUGGGCUGAUUCUUGCUCCAGAAAGAAAAGACAUCCUGGGUUCAGAGGGAUCCUGAAAGAAAUGCUGUUAAUGAAUGGCCUUCCCAGCUGUGCAUGCUAUGCCCUGGACCUCCUACAACAGGGUCUGAUUUGGCAUCAGUCUCCGGUAGGCUAUCCAUGCCAUCUGGAGAAGAGGCUUUCUGCAGAGUGAAUGAAACAGCUGCAAGAGUGUUUUUAGGCAGGGAAGUGAAAAAUGUGGCAUUAGAGGAUUUGCAACUAUUGGAGUGUUUUUCCAAGUAUUAAGGGACUGAUUUUACUCCCUUUUCACUGAAGGCAACAUCACUCAUUGCACAAACAUCUUUUUUUAUAACAUGGAUUAUUUGAAUCACUGGAUUUUUCAACAAAUUCCAGAGACUUUAUCCCAGAGCCACUAUAUUUCUAUGACUUUCAGUAAUGUAGUGGAGAUGGAAUAAAUCUUUGAUGCUCUUUGUGUAUUUAAGAAAG
rnacentral:lncRNA from 1 species